UUUAAUUGUUAGUUUGUCUGAUAGUUGAUUGAGAAACGUGAGAAUCUUACUAUCAAUUCAUCUAUAAAUAACAUCUUUCAUUUUUUUCUUUUUCCAUUCAAUCAUUCCAAAAUUUAAUAGACAUAUCUUCAACUUCUCUUAUUUUCUUAACAAUAGAAUGUCUCGUUCUUCUGGAUAUUCUAAAGAAGAAGAUAAGUUUUUAUGUCAAGUCUAUCUAGAAAUUUCUCAAGAUCCAGUCAUGGAUCAUUACCAAUCAUCUGAUCAUUUUUGGGAUCGUGUGGUGAAAGCUUUCGAAAACGGAAAAACUGCAACUUGGAGUGAACGUUCAAAAAAAUCUCUCCAAUGUCGAUUUCAAAAUAUUGAGAGAGCAACAAAAAAAACUAAAUGCAUGCAUCAGACAAUGUGAAAACAAACGUCAAAGUGGUGCUUCAAGUGAUGAUAUUUUCAAUCAAGCGAAAGAAAUGUUGAUGCAAGAUUCAAGAUUCAAAUCUGGUUGGAAAUUUGAUCAUGUAUGGAACAUUAUUAAAGACUUUUAAAAGUUUAAAGAUGGUGUCACCCCCGCUAGAAAGAUACCAAUAUCUUCAGAGUCAAAAAAUCUUACCCCUGAUUCCGUUACACCAUUGUUUCCAGAAGGAAUUCAAGAGAUGACCUUUUCUGCUGAGACUGAGGAUUGUUACCAUAUCUAUGUUCAUGGCAUUGAUGGUAUGUACCUAAAGUUAAUAGAAAAUGUCUUUGUGUAGCUCACGCUUG